UACGGAGGGGCUAGCGUUGUUCGGAAUUACUGGGCGUAAAGCGCACGUAGGCGGACUGUUAAGUCGGGGUGAAAUCCUGGGCUCAACCUCAGAAUUGCCUCCGAUACUGGCAGUCUCGAGUGCGGGAGAGGUGAGUGGAAUUCCCAGUGUAGAGGUGAAAUUCGUAGAUAUUGGGAAGAACACCAGUGGCGAAGGCGGCUCACUGGCCCGUAACUGACGCUGAGGUGACGAA
rnacentral:rRNA from 1 species